GCAGGCCACGUCAGAAUCCGGCCGGAAUCUGGCCGGAUUUCCGGCCGGAAUCUCGGCCGGAUACUAGGCCGAGAGCAAACCAAAAUUUUUCCAAAACCCUUCUCAAUCCGGCCGGCAAUCCGGCCAGUUUCUGGCCGGAUUCCUGGCCGGAUUCAGUCCAGUGUCUUUUCGUUCAAAAUUUUCCUUUUGCCGUUUGAAAGCCAAAUCGAUUCAAAGUUCAUCCAAACAUCAAUUUAACAUAUAUACAUGGAAAUCCAACAUUGUCAAGCCAAAACGGCAUACCAAAAUAGCUAUUUAGUUCAUACAUAAACAAGUAGCCAUUUACACACCAAACAUUGGUGAAUCAAAACACUUAGGGUUUUCACCCUGAGCUCAACUUGUCAUAACCUUUUCCAAUUCCUGUAAGGAAAACAAAUAACACGGAAUGAGCUAAAGCCCAGUGAGCAACUAUCACAAUAGCAGUUAAGAUCACAUAAGCAAAACCAUUCAAUUCAAGUAUGCAAUUUCGAAGUAAAGCAAAUCAGUGAAAGGAUACGGUCGGCUCUCAAGAGCCCAUUGCCACGCUUAUAUUCUUGAUCCAAUCUCAUUGACUCUCCGUCAACGUUUAUGAGUAGCAACCGUAGAACCCACUUCACUCUCAUUCCUUCCACCAAACAUACCCCAACCGGGCCCGCACUCCAAUCAGUAGCUUUUGGUAAUACUCGAGUAUACCGGAACCAAAGGUCUCAUUACCACAAGAUUCCACAGUACAGUCCCCGUGGCAUGACAAUUUUCACGACCAAGCCCUCGCCGGCUCGAUCCAAUUGACUACCAAACGGGGUUGAGCUCAGUGAUACAGUAAAGCCAUUGGACAUUCGCCCGAAUGACACCAAAUCAGUUUUCCAAGGAUGCAAUUCAAUAUCUCAUAUAGCCAGUGCAGUAUUUCAGUAUAUCAGUAAACAGUCAUGAAUGAAAUCACAAGGGGGUGAGGGCGGUCAAGUACACCCUCACCUCUAUCAAUUCCAAUAGCCAAGUAAGCCUUCAAGGCAUCCAAUUCACAUAUAACCAAGCCACAUUUUAACAAUUAAGUGAGUAGUAUACUCACCAAUCACGUAGGUGAUAUUUCAUGCACCAACGUCAAAAAAGUCGCCGUGAACCCUCGUCACGUCCUAAAACACGUAAACAAUUGCAAUGAGACUCGAUAACGAGUCUAAAGCCAAGCCAUUCACAACCCCAAUGGGUUUCAUAUACAUAAACAAGCAUCAUAAGCAAACCAGAAAUUAAAAGUAGCAUUAGUCUUGGCCCCGAAUAGAAAAACUGUUUUGCCCUUAUUAUGCGGUAAUGGCGUCAAAUUCACUACGAUUAUCGGAUGGGGGUGUAAGACCCACCAUUUCGAAGCUAUGAAACAGGGUUACAACAAUGUAGAAGGCCACUCAAUCCAGUUCCUAACACAACUAGGUCAAAUAUGCCAAAUACUAUACCAGAAUUCCCAAAACAGGUUUGCAAAACACACAAAACUGUAAUUACUAUAACUCAGUCUAUACAGGUCCAAAUGCCGAAAUUCCAAAGGCAUAAGUUAGCUAAGAUAUCCAGCUAUAUUUCAUCAGAAGACACCAACUUCAAAAUCCAAACCAAUUCCAGUCAAAACAGACAAUUACUAUCGCAGUUCGGACAUUCUGCUCACCAAAAACAGCAACAGUAAAAACGGCAUAACUCUCUCUAUACUACUCCAAAUGCCCUGAAAUUUUGUAGGCACAUCAAACUCAUCAAUACCUACAACUUUCAUGUUUUGAGUAAAGUCCAAUUCGACCUCUAGCUAUGACCUAAAAUUUCGGACAGAAUAGGGGUUCAUGAACCCUAACUUUUCACAUUUCAUUCCAAAUCCAAAAUUGAUUGCAUUUCUCAUCAAUUCACACCUACUAGAGUCAAAGCCCCUUAUUACCAACCAUCAAAAACAACCACACCAUCAAGAUCAUAUGAAACCAGAAAAUUCAUCAUAAAAUGGAAAAGUUCACCAAAUCAAGCCAAACCAAGAAAUAAAUCAUAUAAUUCAUCACCUUAGCCACUUCUAAGCCAAACAUAAGCAUCAUUAGAUGUAGUAGGGUGUUCAAGCAUCACUUACCAAGAAAUCAAGAGAGGAGAAGAUGUUGGGCACCUUAGCUCUCCAAACAAACCUCACUAAAGCACUCACUAACACUAAAAGGAAAGAUUGUAUGGAAUAAAAACUAAGUUAAACACUUGAUUUGGUGGAUUUGGACAAGUUGGAAGCUUGAAAUGUUGAAGAAUUUUCUUCCUUCUUGCAAGUGAGAGGUUCGG
rnacentral:lncRNA from 1 species